rnacentral:piRNA from 1 species
UGGGUUCUCCAUCCUGCCACCCUCCCGUGG